CUACGGGAUGCUGCAGUGAGGAAUAUUGCACAAUGGAGGAAACUCUGAUGCAGCAACGCCGCGUGGAGGAUGACGCAUUUCGGUGUGUAAACUCCUUUUAUGAGUCAAGAAAAUGACGGUAGCUCAUGAAUAAGCACCGGCUAACUCCGUGCCAGCAGCCGCGGUAAUACGGAGGGUGCAAGCGUUACUCGGAAUCACUGGGCGUAAAGGACGCGUAGGCGGGAUAUCAAGUCAGGUGUGAAAUCCUACAGCUUAACUGUAGAACUGCACUUGAAACUGGUAACCUAGAGUAUGGGAGGGGGAGAUGGAAUUAUUGGUGUAGGGGUAAAAUCCGUAGAUAUCACUAGGAAUACCUAAAGCGAAGGCGAUCUCCUGGAACAUAACUGACGCUAAGGCGUGAAAGCGUGGGGAGCAAACAGGAUUAGAUACCCUCGUAGUC
rnacentral:rRNA from 1 species